GAGGAAAUUAAUGGAUUUCCAACAUUUGGCUAGAAUAAAAAAACACUAGCUGAAACAAUUCCAGUGGUACUGUGUAUCUAUAUCAAACACUACAUCACACAAACGUGACACAGCAAUUCCACAAAUUUACAUACAUCUUACAAAGCUGCAGCCCUACACACAACGUGAAUUCAAAUAAUUCAAGUGUCUCACUCCACAUCCUUGGGUCAUAGUGCAGACUUGUACAAUUAUUUUCAUCCACAGAAAUGAGAAGUCAGUGAAGCCACAGGAAUUUGCUUUUACAUGCAUUGCACUCUUCUGGAUCUAGCACAUGUUAAUCUCCAGAAAUUACAAGUUCACGAAGUCAGAAAUCAAAUUUGGGCAAAUGUAAAACUACUGGCUGUUCUAUAAAUAGAUCUGUUAAAUACAAACAUGACAUUGCCUGUGGGCAUUGGGAGAGUUGCUUACAUAACAGAAUUUCAAAACAAUUAUCUGCUUCGUGUGUGUUCACGUAUACUAGAGACAGGUGCUUUCUGAAGUUUUGCUUGGUUUUGAUCAUCAGCUGAAACUUCAGAAAUUUUUUAAAGAUAUGCAGUUUCCAUUGAAUUGACCAGGAACAGACCCAGGCUUACACAAUUAAAAGCUUGUUAGUGUGUUUCCCAGCUAUAUCCUCAAUGUAAUAAAUAGUACUUCCAACAAAUCUUGUUUUGCUUCCAUCAUCCUUAGACCAUUACAGCUAUUGUAACACUAUGACAGGCAUAAAUUAUCUUGUUCAGCGUUUCAAGUCAUUUACUUUUCAUUCCCAGUGUUAUUAAAAGCAUAACACAAAAUUCAGAUAUUGUAAUUUGCCUUUUAGUCAAAUUGCUUUCAUAGCACCUCCAGGUUACAGUCCCAUUUCAAACAAAAUAUUCUUCAGAUUUUAAGGGUGAAAUGAAAUGGUAGUAGAGCAUAACAGUGUUUAAAAAAUACAAUGGAGUACUGCAGGAUUGAAGAGAGGACUUAAUAAUGUAACAAAAGAAUAAAUAAAUAAUAAAGCAUUUUUUGCAUACAUCAGUUUUCAGAAGAUCCAGAGAACAUCAAACUGAUUAUAACAUGUUUUUUUUACUGGGGAGAAAAGAUAAGUUAAAAAUUAGGAAGGAAAAGAAUGAUAAUUUAAAAUGUUUGAUAUUUGAACUACUAGUUCUUUUACAGAUAAGACUAUGAAAUCUAAAAUUUCAACUUUCUAAAAGAGCUGUUCGCCUAUAAAGAUUAUUCAUAUUGACUCACAACAAUUCUAACACAUUUUGUUAGCACUGAUCACAUAAUUUCACUAAAAGCUACCACAAAUAGUAUUAAAAUAUUUGCAUUACAGCUCAUCAGGCUUAUUAUCUCAACAGCUCCUAUUUAUGAAGUGAGACAUCUAUGCAAAAGGAAUUAUCACAUUUUGAAAUGCUUAGGAAAUCUGCUUUAACAUUAAUGAAACUUCCAUACACCCAAGGCUGUUCUGAUUCCAUUGUAGAUGACCCAUAAUGGAAUACAAUAAUGGAUUUGGAAUGGAUAGCAUAAAAUUAAGAGAGAAAAGAAACAAAAUCCUGCAUAUUUUGUCAAACAUCCCUUAUUUUUUCAACCUUUAACAAAGUGUUCUUUCCUGGAAAUGGCCUAUUUAUUGUACUGUUGGGUCAGACCAAAGCAUACAUGCACUUGGCUAGGAAAUAAUCUGCUUCUAGGGUGAGGCUGCUGCCUAGCAAAUACAGAGGGAUACCUGGUUUGUGAAAAAGAGGGAAAUUCAAAAUGCAGAAAAAUAACUAAGAUGUAUUGGUCAAUCAUUUUGCCUUAUGCCAUCUCUCCCACUCCAAUCUCCCCAAACACAGGGGGAAGAGAAACAGUGGAUUGUUCAGUGCAGUUUCAUGAGCUUGGUAUGAAGAAACAGGACCUUUCACUACACAGCUACACAGUGUGGUGGUUUGAGCCUGGCUGGAUGCCAGGUACUCCCCAAAGCCACAUGAUCAUUCCCCUCCACGAGUGAACAGGGAGAGAAAAUACAACUGAAAGCUCAUGAGUUGAGAUAAGGGCAGGCAGAGGUCACUCACUGAUUACUGUCAUGGGCAAAACAGACUCAAUUUGCAGAUAGUAUUUUAAUUUAUUAUAAAGCGGAAUCAGAGCAGGAUAAUAAUAAAUAAACCAAAUAAUGAAAACACUUCUCCCCCACCCUUCCCCUCUUUCCUGGGUUCUACCUCCUCCCCCCCAGCAGCACAGUCAGCCAGGGAACAGGGCUUAUGGUCAGUUCAUCACCUGUUGUUUCUGCCACUGCUCAGGAAGAGGGGUCCUUCCCAUGAGAGACAGUUCUCCAUGGACUUCUCCAGUGUGAGUCCUUGUCAUGGGCUGCAGUUCUGCAUGAACUGCUGCAGUGUGGGUCCCUUUACAGGAUGCAGUCCUUCAGGAGCCUGGUGCUCCAGUGUGGGUCCCCCAUGGGGUCACAAGUCAAACCCUCCCUAACAUGGGCUUCUCUCUCCACAGGUCUGCAAGUCCCUGUCAGGAACGUGUUCCCAUGGGCUCCCAGCCUUCCUCUGAGCACCCCCCUGCUCCAGGUGGAUCUCUGCUCCCCUGCUGACCUCCAUAGGAUUCAGGGGCACAGCUGCCUCACCAUGGUCUUCACCACGGGCUGCAGGGGAAUCUUGGCUCCAGUGCCUGGAGCACCUCCUGGCUCUCCUGGACUGACCUUGGUGUCUGCAGAAUUGUUCCUCUCACAUAUUCUCACUUCUCUCUUCCUGGUCACAAUUACAUCUGUGCAAUAACUUUUUUUUCUUUCUUAAAUAUGUUAUCACAGAGGUUUUACUAUCAUCUCUGAUGAACUCAGCCUUGGCCAGCAGUAGGUCCAUCCUGAAGCCAGCUGCACUGGCUCUGUUGGAUGUGAGAGAAGUUUCAGCAGCUGCUCACAGAAACCAUUCCUGCAGUGUCCCCUCCACUACCAAAACCUGGCCACACAAAUACACACACUGAUAUGGUACUCUCAUUCUUCUCAUAACCUGAAAAUAAACCUGGUAAAGAAACUUUCUGCACUAGUACUCCACACAGAUCUAUGAGAAACAGGUGUGGUGGGCCUUUAAACUGGUGACAAUGUAAGAGAGAAUAUUCACUGACUUAAAUAAAGCAGCACUUUAAUCUCUGCUAAAAUAUUAAAUAUUCUACAAUAAGGAAUCAGAAAAAAACAAUUAAAAAUACUUGCAUUUAUAAAGGCAACAUAUGAAAAUAGACUGCUCAAAACCCAGAGGAGAGGAAAAAAGCUCCUGCAAGUAAACUUACAGGGUCGAUGGGUUUUUUAUUCUUGACCGAAUUUUUGGCUUCUUAGACAAAUACUAUUCACCACUGAUGUGGCAGGGAAGAAUCCAAGAUUAACAGCCAACUUGUGUCAUAGGUUAGCAAUGCUUAAUGGCCAGUGUUGUUUCACUAUUUAAAGAAAAAGUGUUUAAUAUGCAAGUUUACCUACUGCUCUGGUUUUGGUUUGGCACACUGACCGGUGGUAUGUUUUUUUCCACAAAGUUUGUCUGAAACUGCUAGUCAUGAUGCUGAUUCUUAAAAUUAUUUUUCUACCCAUAGCAUACAUCAGAGAAAGAAAACAAUUUUGAGGGCAAUAUGAUGAUACAGAAGACAGCAUAAAAGUCCUUUUUUUAUAUCCACAGUAAAAUAAAAUAAAAAUCAAACAUUAAAAAGCUUUUCCUCCACACAAAUGGUAACUUUACUAAUCUUUUCUCUUUCAAUUAAAAUCAACAUUGUAAUGCCUAUUAGAAUGUUAAAUAUAUUCCUACUGCAAGUGAUCAGAGAUGCAAUUCAAAUACUAUUUGUAUUUUAAGGCAAUCAUAAUCAACUCCUACUACCAUCUGAUAUUCUGUUAAAUGUGAAGUGCAAAAAUUUUCAGGCCAAAGCUCAUUAGUGGGAUAAUUAAUUUCCAUACAGUGAAGAGCACAGCUCAUAACCAUUAACAGAAGCAAAACUUUUACUGGAACCCAAGUUGUCUUUUUUUUCAGUUAAUGCAACAUUGUUGUUGAAAGGAGGAACUACACAGUUCUCCAUUCCUACUGAAAUCAGUAAUCUCUAUGAAAUUGAGAACAGACCAUAUGAAAAUUCUUUGAGGAAAUAAUUUCACAGUGACAUUUGUCUCUUUUUUGAGAGUAUAAACACACCAUUUGAAAGGAAGUGAGACUGAAGAGUAGUCACUAAAUCAACAGUCUGACAAAAAGCCCAGUAUAAAACCUACCACCCCUGUCUCAUAGCAAGGAAGACAGUCAUGUAAAAAGUAAAAUAAACUUUAUCAAAUUAUUUCAACAUUUCAAGGUUUUGUACUUAGAGGAGUUCAUUUUCUUAGAGAUAGAGUAGUUACAUGUGCAAAUGUAAAUUAUUUUGUAAAUCAUUAAGCCUUUAUGCCUGUUUGAAAGUUGAAAUCAUACACAAAACAAUUCAAGAAAACUUAGGAACCUGAAAGCUUUCUUUAUAAUGGACUUGAUUUUGUAGUUUGUUGCCUUCAAAGUGAUUCAGUUCAUACAGCACUUGUGAGAUAAUGGGCAACUGAUACUGAAAAUGGAAUGUAAGCCUGUACAAUCAAGCAAACAGAUUUUUUUAUUAUUUUAUGAAAUUCCUUUGUGUUCAUUCACAGUCAUUAGUAAAUGACUGGGGCUAGCAGCCACUGAUAUUGUCUGAAUCCAAAGUUUAAUUACUAAAUGUGCUAAAAAAAAAAAAAAAAAGUCAUAUGCCAAAAGAAAUCCUUUCUAAGCCCACCCAUGUGAAAUGGGAGCCAGCAUUGCCAGUGAAAGGGCAACAGAGUAUCACUCAGCUGCCAGUUUCUACUAAAAUCCUGUUCUCCCAGCUCCGUGUUUCAUACUACAUUUUAAACCUGAUACACUGUGCCUGCAAAUGUCAUCUGCACCACAAAUGCACAUAUUUACACACACCAAAAAAAAGUCACCUCCCAGAAUUUAAAGAAACCUGCACACCACUGUUUUUCAGAGGCUAAAUAAAUGUAUUUAUAGCUGAAUUGAAACUUGCUCCACAACUGUAUUUUUACAAUGGUAUGGUGCCAGUAAAUUUGCUAUCCUACAUUAAUAUGUAGUAAAAAAUAGGGAACAAAAUGGAAAGAAAAAUGCCAUAUCUUGCUGUUUCUCAUUUUUAUUGUGCCAGUGUAAAACACUGCAGUCGUGUUCAAAGAUCUAGGGAUUUUAGGUAAGUGCUUUGGCAACUUUAAAGUUCAGGGAAAAGCCAGGGUAGGGUCUAAUCAUGGGUCUUUCAUUGUGCUACUGUCAUGGUAAGCCUCUCUCCUGCUCUAUUUCAAACAGGCGUCC
ensembl:lncRNA